GACGAACGCUGGAGGCGUGCUUAACACAUGCAAGUCGAACGAUGAAAUGGAGCUUGCUCCAUGGAUUAGUGGCGAACGGGUGAGUAACACGUGAAUAACCUGCCCUUAAUUUUGGAAUAACCCAGGGAAACCUGGGCUAAUACCGGAUAAGUAAACCUGUGGCAUCACAUGGUUUUGGAAAGUUUUUCGAUUAAGGAUGGAUUCGCGGCCUAUCAGCUUGUUGGUGAGGUAAUGGCUAACCAAGGCGACGACGGGCAGCCGGCCUGAGAGGGUGAACGGCCACACUGGGACUGAGACACGGCCCAGACUCCUACGGGAGGCAGCAGUGGGGAAUAUUGCGCAAUGGACGAAAGUCUGACGCAGCGACGCCUCGUGAGGGACGAAGGUCUUCGGAUUGUAAACCUCUUUCAGCAGGGACGAAGCGAAAGUGACGGUACCUGCAGAAGAAGCACCGGCUAACUAUGUGCCAGCAGCCGCGGUAA
rnacentral:rRNA from 1 species